CUGGACCUCAGCUCAGGCGUGACUACCCGCUGAAUUUAAGCAUAUCAAUAAGCGGAGGAAAAGAAACCAACAGGGAUUCCCCCAGUAGCGGCGAGCGAAGCGGGAAUAGC
rnacentral:rRNA from 1 species